rnacentral:rRNA from 1 species
GGGUCAGUAGGUUGGUCGUGCCACCGGUACGUACUGGUCUAACUGAUUCCUCCUUCCUGAAGAACCGUAAUGCCAUUAAUUUGGUGUUGCGGGGAAACAGGACUGUUACUUUGAAAAAAUUAGAGUGUUUAAAGCAAGCUAACGCUUGAAUACAUUAGCAUGGAAUAAUGAAAUAGGACGAUCGAUCCCAUUUUGUUGGUUUCUAGGAUUGACGUA